CACAAAUUUUACAACAUUCCAUUUACCGUCCUCCAACCCCACCUACACACAUGCACAAAGUCAUUUGCAUAGUAGGAGUGGUGCCUUUAGGGACCACAGCGGUUCUCAAGGGGCAAAAUAAUCAAUAGGUUAAUAUUAGCAAUAUUUUAGCCUAGAAGUCCACACAAUGAAGAAUGCAAAGGUUGGCAAAUCUGAGCCCCACUUAAUGAUCCCUGCUAUUAUCCUCCACUCAGUGCUGACAAUUCUGAUUGCUAAUUUAGUGUAGUCAUAUGUAACAACAACGUCUUCUCAUAAUUAUCCUUUUUUUUUCUCUUAAAAAGGUCCUGAAAAUCUAGUCUCUCUAUUAGCUUCUUACCCAGUCUUGAUGAAGCAGAUUAGCUGAAUGUUUGACUGUUACACUCUUAAAAAGUAAUACCUUCUAACAACAAAAUCUUCUCAUUUUGUUUUUUCAGGACAAAAUCCUAAUCCUUUAUCCACGUUCUAAUAUGGCUGAUCAACAUGACAGAAAGUUUUCCCUGACUUAGUAGACAAUUUACAAAAGCAAACACUAUCACAUCACUGGUAACAUGAUGAAAACGCUUUCUUGUCAUGGACAAUAGGUGAACACACAGUUCCAGUGGCUUCACAAUGGCAGUAUUACAAGGUCAGCUCUGAGGUUUCGCCUGGCUCAGCAAAGACCUGCAGAGCUGUGGGGCAUGCUGCUCAGCUGACAGGGCUCUUUGCUUGUUCAUGGUGCUCUUUCUCGAAGGGGCCCCAGUGACAGAGCCAUUCACAAGCACGGGCCAUAAAUGACCGAGUUCAACACCACAUUAAGCACUGCAUUCUCAAAAUCAGUAGGCUACUGACUCUGGAGCACAGCCAAAAUGCCAGGAACAAAAGGUAAUAAGUCGGACAAGAAGUCAGCUACCAAGCAACCUCAGAGUCCUAAAGAGCAGCCGAAGAAAGGUGAUCAGAAAGGAGACGAUAACAAGAAGCAAGGAGGACAGCCGAAGGGAGAGAAGCAAUAACUUCCAGGCAUUUGUGAAGAUGGCUUUGGAGACACUGCUGGGGUCCUGCCGUCGUA